rnacentral:rRNA from 1 species
UACGGAGGGGGCUAGCGUUGUUCGGAUUUACUGGGCGUAAAGGGCGCGUAGGCGGCGUGUUAAGUCAGCUGUGAAAUCUCCGAGCUUAACUCGGAACGGUCAGCUGAUACUGAUGUGCUAGAGUGCAGAAGGGGCAAUCGGAAUUCUUGGUGUAGCGGUGAAAUGCGUAGAUAUCAAGAGGAACACCUGAGGUGAAGACGGGUUGCUGGGCUGACACUGACGCUGAUGCACGAAAGCCAGGGGAGCAAACGGG